UACGUAGGUGGCAAGCGUUGUCCGGAUUUACUGGGGGUAAAGAGCCCGCAGGCGGUCGAUCAAGUCGCGUGGGAAAGCCCCCGGCUCAACUGGGGAGGGUCACGCGAUACUGAUCGACUCGAAGGCAGGAGAGGGUAGUGGAAUUCCCGGUGUAGUGGUGAAAUGCGUAGAUAUCGGGAGGAACACCAGUGGCGAAGGCGACUACCUGGCCUGUUCUUGACGCUGAGGCGCGAAAGCUAGGGGAGCAAACGGG
rnacentral:rRNA from 1 species